rnacentral:rRNA from 1 species
CCUACGGUGGGCAGCAGUGGGGAAUAUUGCACAAUGGGGGAAACCCUGAUGCAGCGACGCCGCGUGAGUGAAGACGUGUCUCGGUACGUAAAGCUCUAUCCGCAGGAAAGAAAAUGACGGUACCUGACUAAGAAGCCCCGGCUAACUACGUGCCAGCAGCCGCGGUACUACGUAUGGGGCAAGCGUUAGCCGGCUUUACUGGGUGUAAAGGGAGCGUAGACGGCGCUGCAAGUCCGUAGUGAAAGCCCAGGGCUUAACCAUGGUACUGCUCGGGAAAUUGUAGAGCUUGAGUGCGGGAGGGGCAGGAGGAAUUCCCAGUGUAGCGGUGAAAUGCGUAGAUAUUAGGAGGAACACCGGCGGCGAAGGCGGGCUGCUGGACCGUAACUGACGUUGAGGCUCGAAAGCGUGGGGAGCAAACAGGAUUAGAUACCCUUGUAGUC